rnacentral:rRNA from 1 species
GAUGAACGCUGGCGGCGUGCCUAAUACAUGCCAGUCGAGCGAACAGACGAGGAGCUUGCUCCUCUGACGUUAGCGGCGGACGGGUGAGUAACACGUGGAUACCCUACCUAUAAGACUGGGAUAACUUCGGGAAACCGGAGCUAAUACCGGAUAAUAUAUUGCACCGCAUGGUUCAAUAGUGAAAGACGGUUUUGCUGUCACUUAUAGAUGGAUCCGCGCCGCAUUAGCUAGUUGGUAAGGUAACGGCUUACAAAGGCGAGGAUGCGUAGCAGACAUGAGAGGGUGAUCGGCCACACUGGGACGGAGACACGGUCCAGACUCCUACGGGAGGCAGCAGUAGGGAAUCGUCCGCAAUGGGCGAAAGCCUGACGGAGCAGCGCCGCGUGAGUGAUGAAGGUCUUCGGAUCGUAAAAAUCUGUUAUUAGGGAAGAACAAAUGUGUAAGUAGCUAUGCACGUCUUGACGGUACCUAAUCAGAAAGCGACGGCUAACUACGUG